CAGUUGCAUAAACACACACCGUCAAAGACCUGGAAGUCACACGCUGGCACAGCGCACAGGCAGCGCUCCUGCUCUUGUAAUUAAUGAACUCCUGGCAGGAGGCUGCUGGGAUCUCAGCAGCCCCCAAAGAGCACAUGCCAGACUGCUCAGGAGUGGCACUCACUGAGAUUAAAGACUUGGCUGCAGCGAAAAAGAAAGCGGAAGCAAACAGCAGCCUUCUGCCACACCCAGCAUCCAGCAUCUCAGUCUGACAUGCUCAGCACCAGACUGCAUGGGGUGAGCAGGAAAAUGUCCCACUGUGAUGCCUUGCCUUUGUGAAAGCUGCUGGAACACAGACAAGGGAAAGGAAUUCCAUGCAGGACCUUGAAUGAGGGACACUCAGGGCAGCCAAAGACAUCAGCAACUUCUGCCAGCCACCUCUGGAAGGCAGGAGCAUCACAAAAGGCUGGAUGUAGGCUCCUCCAUCAGCGAGCCCUCAGCCGCAGACAGGAUCAGUAACCACAACCCAAUCUGCUGCUCUUUCCGCAGCAGACAGUUGUCCUUUUCCACAUGGCCAGGUACGACACUUCUGGGACAAAUUUGGGGGUAUUCAUCACCAGCGGUGAGGGCGUGGGAGACAAGUUUCAUCCAAAUAAAGGACUACCAUGUGUUGGGGCUUCAGUAGAAAGGUCUUGUGUUUACUGUCCUGCACAUGCAGGGAGAGAUUUUCACUGUAUUUUCUCCUCCUGGAUGUUAAGAGUCAUUUGAAAUUAUGUGAAAUAAUGGGUAGCCAAAAUUUCAUCUCCCCCCACUGCCUUCUCACCUUUGAGUCUCCGCUUGUGGAGCUUCCUUGGCACAUCAUGAAUCUGCACAACAGGGAAGAGGACUUGGCCUGCCCCAGCUGCUUCAGGCUUGUUGGCUUACCUUGCGUGGAAAAUCCAGGAAGUGCCAAAUAUCAUCCACUGAGGCUGUUUCACCAGCCCCAAACAUCCAAAUGUCAAGAAAAAUACUCCCAAAUAUAAUAAGAGUGGGUUAAAGUCCCAAAAAUUACAGUGCUUUAGAUUGUCAGUGAAUGUACAAUUGUUUCCUUGCAACUCAUGUUCAAACACUCCUGCAUGCCAAAGAACACAAGUUUCCCAAAGGGAUUUUCCUUUCCUUAGGCUUGCCUAGGGAAGUGGGAUGGUGAAGGUGCUCCAAGACACCCCAUGGUCCACACCAGUGGGACAAGACAAAGUCCCAUGAUAGCUCUGGGCUAUCACCUACUGCAGCGUUUGCAAGGGUGAUCCCAGAUUCUUCACAAAGGUUCAAGUUAUCACUUUGUGAAAUUUUCCACCUCCUUCACAGACAGGGUUCUCUGGCUUUAGGCUGCUUUCCAUGAGGCUGGAUAGGAAAGCUUCACAGCAGCAGGACAUUUUAUUGUUGCCUUUUGUAUUUUGCCCAGACAGCAUUCCUCUGACUGUGUGCCCGCUGUCAAUGAGUGUAGAUUUCUCUUUGGUGCUUUCGGUGCUUUUAUCUUCCUGAAAAGCCAGCUCUUAAGAGUAUGACUGGCAGGUAGCUAAUAUUUAAUCCAGGACUCGGUGCCAAGGACUGAUCUCUACACAGAGAGAUCAGAUCUGGAUCUUGCCCUGCAGCAGAAGAGCCUUUGCCACGUGGCUCCCUUGAGCAAAGUGAGCAGCUGGGCGUAGGUCCUGACACCCAGCCUAAUCUCUCUGGCUGUCUUCCUGAAGCAAUGGGGAGCUUUUAACCUAGAUUUGGUGUUUUAUCCAAGAAGUAGGAAACUCAUAAGAGGUAUAGCCCAGAGAGCAUCUUGACUGUGGCCAGCUUUCUAGUUCCAGUAAAGUUACAGCCCCACUUUCCACAUUAGUCUUGUGUCUGUCUCAUGUCUUGACCUCUUACAAUGGGCAAAACUAGGCUGUAGUCAGUUUUAACACCUCCACCUCUCUAACAGCUAAGCUAGAAAAUGGUUGUUUUAAGCAACAUAAAUUUAGUUUCAGGCUGUAAAUUACGUAUUUUUCAUCAUAUAGGUUGCUUUACAACUGAGAGUUUUCAUGCAGGUCUGCACAAAAUAAUUAGUCUGUAAAGGUCUGGGCUUUUUAGGAGCGGGUAAAUUAGGAAACUAGGGAAGGGAAGUUUACCAUAAACAUCCUUUCCUUGCUGCUGAGGUCCCAGGCUCAGGUUUCCUACAGUAAAAUGUUAACUACGAUAACAAAACAAUAAACCUUAGAUUGAGCUAAGAAUUGUAUUUAGUGUGUAGAGAUCAUGCAUAAUAAUUAAAUGGUACUAUACCAAAAUUUUGUCUGAGGGACCCUUGUGCCAUUGCAUCCCAACCCUUGGUUUAAACUUCAGAACAAAGUGGACAAAAGAGCCAAACCAGAAAUUUUGUAUUAAGAAAGAGAGGAGAAGUUUUUCAGAGGGGCCAAGAAGCAGCUAGUUCAGCAGCAGGUGGCAGAGCCUUGCUGCAUGAGUGUUUCUUAUGAAAGAAGCAGGAUCAGGAAUGUGUUUCAGUGCCUUAGCUGGUCAUUUCACAGCAGAGGUUUUAAAAAAUCAUUCAACUACAUGAGACCAUCUAUUACCAAGGCUGCCACUGAAUUUGAUCAAAAUCCCCAGAAUUCUAUUGGGAAACCUUCUCAUUGUUACAGAAGCAGACAGGACCACAGUCUUAAACUUGCAAUUUUGCCAUUAGGAAAAUCUACUAAAGGAUUCAGGUGCCUGGCAUGGGGUCUGGUAGCCUCCAGUACUGCAAAAAUAUUUAACAAUUUAAUGCACUUUCCAACAUUAUGAAGUUGCAGUGAUUAGCAAAUACAUAAGUUUUGGCAGGACUUGAUUCUUCACCAAGUUCUGACCCUGCCACACAAAGUACACUCGACCCUGCUCCACAGUGAUGUAAGAUGCUAUGGAAAUGCAAAGUGCUGACCAGGAGGUGAGGGCUGCAAUGGCUGGGCUGUGAAUGGAGAGGACAUGUCCCAAGAGCAAUAAACCCCACUCUUGCCUGUCUUUCCUGCUCCCAGCAGCAGCAUCUGGCUUUAUGCUUUGGGAUUUUGCCUGUGAAAAAUUGAUCUGUGUUGAUGCAAAAAGAAAAUAAUUGAAAAUCUAGCUCAUAGUCAUAUGACACCGGUACCUACAAGACAGUAAAGCAUCAAAAAAAUCUCAAUUUCAGGUAGCCUUUUGACUUCAAAGCACUUUGCAAAUGGCUGGAUGAGAUGGAGCUAAGACUGUUAUCCUCUAUGGUAAGAUGCUGGACUAUACUCUAAUGACUUGGAAAUAUUUGGAUCAGGCUUAGCAGUGUAAAUAUGCCAAGCAAAGAGGUGAAACUCAGCACACAGAUACCUAGAGGUACCAGUAAGGGAAAGUUAACCCUGGGUGCAUCACAGGUAUCUCCUACAGAUGUGUUAAAUGUGGGAGUGAGGGGGCUGCAGGGGGCUUGGGGCAGACCCAGGGAAGGACUUUGCCCUUGCAAAGAAUGACCCAAUGCCCCUGUAAGGUCUCCAGCCUCAAAGGGUGGACUGUGCAUAGGGCACAAGAGGUGGCUGUCCAUGCUUGUCUGCAGAUUUUGUGAACUUUAGUUUGCCAGAGCCCUGAAAUGGAAUAUUUACCACGUGUCACUACUGCCUCUCAAACACAACACUCAGAAGCUUUUAUCCAAUUCUUAGUUUCCCCUGUGUUUGCAUAUCCUGCAUGUGAGUAGAAGGUGAUUAUAAAGGCAAAAGUGUUUACAUAAUGUUUCUCUUCCAAGGCCCAAAGUGAAUUCACUUGAAAGAUUCCAGUUAACUUCAACAAGCUUUGGACCAGUGUCUCAAGGAAAAGAUGCAAACUUUGAUUUGCAAUCUCCUGUACCAUACAAUUGAUUUAGUUUGGAAAACUAACUUGUAAUUUAGCACUUAAAACAUUUUAACCACUGUUUCUGAGGAAUUUUAAACCUAAGCAGUAUUAAAAAUCAUUACUCAUGGACACUUUCAUAGAGUCAAGUUUUUGCUUUUAAGUCAUGAUUUUACCAAACAUUGUCUUUCUUACUAGGUGGGACUUUAAAUUCAGAAAACUGAUAAUUUAUGUUUCCAUAUCUAGCAGAGGACUAGAAAGCUUUCACUGAUGUUCAUAAAGCCUAGCCUUAUGUUAGAUUUGAAGACUAUGGCAGCUUUGUUUAUACUAUAGUUUGGGAGAGGAUUGCCGGUCUUUUAAAAAUAUUUUCAGCCUUAAAAUGUUAAUCACUGGACUCAAAAAUAGAUUUAUGUCUUCCUAUUUCACUACAAUGACUUCUUUUUUUUUUUCCUCUGAGAAAACAUGCAAAGUAAAAUGACAAACCUACUUUUGGAAAAAAUUUUCUUAAAAAAAAAAAAAAGUAGUACAUUUUUGAGGAUAUAAAAAAAAGGCACUCAUUUAAACUUAUUAUAGUAUCAUUGUUACAGACACAGUGAAUGUUUUUUAACAAGAGCUUUCUCUUAAAUGAAAAUGAAACCCACAAUAUAAUAAUGAACUGGAAGAGGAUUACCUUCCAGAAUAUCCAACAGUUUUCAGCUGCACAGCUAUUGUCAGUGUGCUGCUGACUUAAGGAUUUGAACUAAAUCCUUUCAGAAGAUAACUAAUUUUUCAUUGUAUGUUGCAGAAAGUGCCUCCUUGAGAGAACUUUGCAGACUGUUUUCUAUAACUGGAGUAUCUGAACAAGAUUUCUAUUCUAAACCCUUCUUCUGAAGCCAUUUCUCUUCUUUCACCUUAUCUCUCUGAAGUGUGAGAAUGUUUUUUUUUCGUCUUUGCAUAUCUACCCAGCCUGGGUGCCUUACAUGAAAGUGAUUUUUCCGUGGGAUAGCUGAGGCUAGAAGUGACUGGUGGUGGCCCCCACAUCAAGCUUUGCUCAGUUUGGGGCUAACUCCAAAAGGAAUUCAAGUUGCUCAGGGCAUGUCCACCUGUGUCUUGAGCUUCUCCAAACAAUGCAUCUCCAAGGAUGAAGCUUUCUCUCUCCCAGGGCUGCGCCACUCACACAGUGGAUCAUUUCCCCCCUUACGUCCAGCAUCUGCCUUGCUGCAAAUCUCAGCUGCUGCUUUCUGACUUUUCCCUGAUCACUUUGGAGAUCCUGGCUGAAUCUAACCUAUAACCAGACUUCAGGGAGUGAAGGACAGCAACCAUUGUUCUUUGCCUGCUGUAUGUGUCAGCUCAGACAGGAUGUCACCACUUUGGUGGGUCAGUGAUGCCAGCUGCCCACACAGGUACUUCUCAGACACUCAGACACUCAAGACACUGUCUCAGACACUCAAGGAGACUGCUGGUUCUGGUAUGCACCAGAAGCUCCCACAGCUCAAAAUCCUGGGAAGCAUCUUCCUCUUCCUGACUCCAAGGGUAUUUGGGUGUAGAAAUGUUAGUCUCUGCCACCCUUGCUAUCUCACCUGCAGAUGUUUACAAAGUCUGGGCUAUUGACUCCUACACCUUAGUGCCUUUCUAAGUAUCCCUCAAGUGUGUUCAAAGAGGUACUAAAAAGAAUGGACAAUAUGGCAAAUUAUUUACCAAAUAACCUGAAGGUUUGAAGACUUUUUCCUAUUUUCAUCAAUAUUUUACAACAUUUGCCAUUUUCCCUUUGAAACAAAGCUGUCUAAUUUUCGAGCAAAUUUGGGAAUGAAAUGUUGAUCUAUUGCAGAAGGGAACCUUAUUUUGUCACAUAAGAGUAUGAAGAGGCAUCUGCAAUAGAUGAAGUCCCCAGACAUAGUGUGGUAAACCAGUAGACAGACUUUGUAAAAUGAGGAGUAAUUUAUGGUCUCUUAUUGGAGGAUCUUUAUGAAUAAUUCUAUCCUGGAAACAACUUAAACAGCACCAGCUACAUUUUUAGAAACAUUGGUAAAAAAAGUCAGGUCUUCUAAACUCUAAUGACAUUUUCAAAACAUCACAAAACACAAAUGCAGUCAUCAGAGUUAUCACCUUCAGAAAACAGAGGAAAUAAUUUCAAUUUACUUCACUUGUUUUCACUGUCAUUUAGGCUGAGCAACAUCCUCUGGAACUGAAUUUUCAAAUUUCUGCAGCAAAUACUCCAAUUCUGGAUGCAGUAAGGCAGAAAAGAUUAUGGUUUAGACUGGGGAAAUCCUUUUACUUCUAUAGUGAGAGACACAGAAACACAACACCAGGGUUGAUAUACAGGUGUGAACGGCUUCACUUCUCAAUGUCUCUACAGAUUUUCCUCAAUCACCUGAGAGCACUGGCUAAAUCAAAGCAGUAAAAGCUACAAUUAGGUUUUCUUUUUAAAUAUUCAAAAUUGAUGGAUAACUUUAAAAAGAAAAAAACCCCAUGGUAUAAGUCUUGGGAGUAUAGAGAAUAGAGACUUGGAAAAAUCAGGCAAAUUUUAGUUUUAAACCUAAAGCUUUUAAACCUAAAGUUUUAAAUCUUGGUUUUGGCUUCUCCAAACAUAACCUCAGUGACUGAUUUAAAUUCACAUUCUGAAUUCAUAACCAGUAAUUUAAUAUGGAAAUAUUUUCCUCUAGCUGAAGUAAAGCAUUCACUUACCUCUGAACUAAGUAAAGCACCAGGAUAUAUAAUUAGGGAAAUCAAGAAUUCUCUUCAGAUUUAAUUUUCACUUCCUCCAACAACCUAAGAAGUUUCCAUGUGCAAGUUGCCAUACUGUACAGUACAAGGCAAUAAACUCUAGCCCUAACCUUUCUGGGCAGGGUAGAUCAGUUAUCCUCAGGCAGGCAAGAAACCAAGAGCAACUUUAUUCUCAUGUCUGUAAAUUCUUUUUCCUGUGUACAAAACAGACAUUUUCUAACCCACAUUUCUAACAUUUUCUUUUUAAACUCUUCAGUGCAGCAACAAUAUUUUUGCAGCUUUGUGCUAGGGUUGCAGAUAGCAAUAAAAGAAUUGCAAUGAAGCCUUUGGGUAUUUAUCAUCCCAGAUUCAGAAAGCCUAUAUCAGAUGGGAAGAAUGAUACAGGUCCUUGCAGGAAGUGUCUCCAGUGUCAGCACCACCACUAAUACACCUUUAAAAUAAAAUGGAAGUGCUGAGCAUCCCUGACAACAGGCACUUUCUAGUGACCCUGUGAAGGGCUGCUUUUUUCUCUCCUCUGAUGGUCUGUAACCUAGCCACAAAGGGCUGGCAAUGACAUGCAUAUCCCCAGGCCACUGGGGAUGCCUUCAAGGACUGCACCUGUCAGCAGGAUUAUAACGAGAUUUGUGGACUGAUAAAAUACUGAAUUAGAAGUUCUUUUAAUGGCCCACUUGGAUGGAAAAAUAGUUGCAGGUGAGCUGACAGCAAAAGUUAGGUAUAGCUGAAUGUCUUUUCUUAAAAUCCAUUUCCUUCUGCAUUAAAAAGAGAUCAUUUGUUGCAAUAUUAUUGUUGCCCCAGAAGGAACCCUAGAUGAGACUGCAUCUGAAGGAAUAAUUGGACAAGAACUAAAAGAACUUAGUAUUUACCAAACGGCCUCCAACCUAAACCACGACAGAGACAAAGCCACUACAUUUCACAAGACCAGUCUGAAAGGAAAUUCUUGUGCGUCAUUUAAAAGGCCAUUUAUUUUUAUAAUAUACAACCCUCUAAAGAAAUAAGUGUUUCACCUUCAUCACUCUUAUUUAAUUUUUGUCAUAUUAAAAUAUUGCCUUCCUUCACGAAGGCUUAUGAUCAGUCUUAAGAAUUACAAGAGAGAAAAUCCAACAGGACAGUCCAAGGGGAUGGCUAAUUAGAGGGUAUCUUUGUUUGUACUGAAAAGACUCUGCUAAGAAAGUUAGAGAAUAAGAACUUUAAAUAUUGACCUUGCCAUCAGCUUCUAAAUGUAUUUUUUUUGGCAGGAGUAUUUUUAAAUUCCUCCCAAAUAACCUUUUGAUAAUAUUUAAACUUUAUUUUUACAUACUCUUUGAAAACAAGCCAGUUUCUUGAAUCUUUUUGUUCUGCAAAUUUAGCAAUCAUAUGAGAUCUCCUGCUUUAACAAAACCAAUAUUUUAACACUGAGAUAUCCAACAUUUCCUGCAAAUUAAUUAUCACAUAGUAAAACCUGAGAGAACAGCAAUUACAAUGUUUACAAAGUUACCUUAAAGGUUAAAAUAACUUUUCCCAAAGUUAUAGCUUGUUAUGCUCCAAUCUUUUUCUCUCAAAGCUCUAGAAGAGUAGAGAAAUGAGAGGGUGGGCUUGAAGAAAUACAAGAAUCCCAGACUGCAGUACAGGAAUUUUUUUUUUUCAUUUGACCUCAUUUUUUCUUGUAAGACCGUGCUUUGGUAAAGAUUUAACCUUUUACAGUUAGAAUUCCAGGAGAUUAUAAAGAGAAUUUAACAUAAGAAUGUUAAAUCUACAGGUAGUGAGCAAACAACACGGAAUUCAUUCUUAUACCUAUUUUUUAAAUAACAAUGCAUUUGUCAUUUUUAGAAAUUUUUUUGAGUUGGUGAAUGAAAGAGAGCAUGACUGUAGGAACUGAUGUACCUUUCCCUCAUUUUUUAAGACAUGAUGGAAGUUCAAGGGCAGUGUAAACUCAAGCAGGGCAGGAUGUGCUCAAUGUCAGCCUUCAAGAUUGUAAAUUUUGAAGUCAAUUAAAAACAAAAAAGAAAAAUAAAAUUUCUUUACAUAAGUUUUUCAAAAACAUGUGGG